CUUGUAGGGAGUCUCUUCUGUAUGAAUCAUCUUGUGUUUAGAAAGUAAUGGUGAAUACUGGAAAGUCUGCCACAUACUUCACACUUUUAAGGUUUCUCUCUUGUAUGAAUUUUCUUAUGGUCUGAAAGUACUGAUGGAUUUUGUAAGGCCAUGCCACAUAUUUCACACUUUUAGGGGUUGUCUUCUCUAUGUAUUCCCUUGUGUAUAUGAAGUGAUGAUGUAGUGCGGAAGGCCUUUCCACACACUUUACACUUGUAUGGUGUCUCUCCUGUAUGAAUAUUCUUAUGGUCAGAAAGUACUGAUGAAUAACGGAAGGCCUUGCCACAUACUUCACACUUGAAGGGUUUAUCUUCUCUAUGAAUUCCCUUGUGUACACGAAGUGAUGAUGGAGAGCGGAAAGCCUUUCCACACACUUUACACUUGUAUGGUGUCUCUCCUGUAUGUAUGUUAUUAUGUUUUGAAAGUCUUGAUGGAUAUUCAAAGGCCUUGCCACAUAUUUCACACUUGUAGGGUUUCUCCCCUGCAUGCAUUCUCUUGUGUUCAUGAAGUGAUGAUUGAGAGCGAAGGAAAUUUCCACAUAUUUUACACUUGUAGGGUUUUUGGUCUGUAUGACUUAUCUUGUGUUUUAAAAGUAAUGAUGGAAAGCGGAAGGAAAUUUCCACAUACUUCACACUUGUAGGGUUUUUGUUCUGUAUGAAUUAUCUUGUGUUUUGAAAGUAAUGAUGGAUAUUGGAAAGCCUUGCCACAUACAUCACACUUGCAGGGUAACUCUCCUGUAUGAAUUCUCUCGUGUUGACAAAUAGAUGAUGGAGAGAAGAAGGCCUUUCCACAUACUUUACAUUUGUA
rnacentral:lncRNA from 1 species